rnacentral:lncRNA from 1 species
GGGGCAUGAACCAGCCCCCUGGCAGGGGGUCGACCCCUAGCGCCCUCAUUAAAGUGCCAAUCAAAAAGAGUAAUGGAACAGGGAAUGGAAAGCUGGCUUCUUCAGCCUGUUACUGUGCACAGUCUGAGCAACUUGCACAAGCCAAGGGAAACAUUUCUCUUCUGAAGAGGAGCCAGACUUCCAGAAAUACCUCCUCUCUCCUUGUCUCUGUGUGCGCAAUGCUGAGACCCUCCUGUGCGUCCCGCCUGCAGUGGGAGCGUGUGGUGGGAGCCUCUUGCUUACCAUAGUGCAAGCAGUGGGAAGAAGCGUGGCCGAAUGUAACCCGGAAAGGAUGUAGAUGCUUCUUCUGUGGAAUACAGUGGUCAGUGAUUGGUUACAGCAUGGCUUCUCUUGCACAUUGCUCAGGUUUCAGCAAUUGCACAUGAAGGAUGGGCAGAAAACAGUAGAUGCAGAAGUCAUGCCAGUGUGCACGAGGUAAGAAAGUGUAUUGUUGUGCUUUUGUGGGUUAUUUCAAGUUUCGGCACGGAUCUACAGCAAACAGUGGUACCAGAAUUGUUGGGUGGAUGCUCAGACUCACAUGCAAUGCUACGCAGCUUAUCCUUGAUGGUGAAUAUUUCAAAGAGGUGUAUAACCUCUGCAUUGCCAAUGGAUGCUCAUCUUCCUAUUCUGAGUGCAUUCCAACAGUGGUGAUGCUGUGGGAAUUUCUGUACCAUCUUGUGAUGGCUUCUUGUACAUAGAUUCACAUUAUGCAGGUGAGCUUCACUCUGGUGUGUGCGUGGCAGAGGGCAAAAGGUGGUGACUGAAAAGAAAAAGCACCAUAAUACCUUAAUAGGUAUUACAGAUUUGGUGAAAAGCUUCUGUUGCCUGGAAGAUUGCAGGAGGCUGCAGGGUGAUGCAUGGUCAGAGGAAGGAGCCAUCCAGCCAUCCUUUGUUGCUGCCUGUUCUCAUGCUUUGCUGCUGCUAUGGCUCUUCUAGGUGCUGUGAAGCUGCAGUCAGACUGUGUUGUGGUAAAGAAGAGAAAGCAGCAGCAAGAUCCUGUGUUCUGACGGUGGCCUUGCACUUCACUGUGGGAUCUUAGUCAAGGUACUGAACUGCUUUCAGUUUAAAUGUCCGUAAUUGGGCCAAAUUCUGCUCUUUCUACUGUGAGUGCUGGGUUGCUUCUGCGAAACGUCUGCAGUUUCUGUUCUGGUUACUCUGCAAACAUUUUCAAAGCCUGUGAGGUUCGGUGGUGCUCGUUGGAAGGGGGAGAGAGAAAUUACUGAUGUUCUCCCUGGUAUUUGGGUUGCUGUGUAAGGAGCCUGGCUCUACUGAAAUAUGGUUCUGUUCUCCUGUAAGUGGUGUGGGGUUGUUGUUUGUUUUGCCCUCAGCAAAGUCUGAGGCCAAAUUUUUGCCGCACCAUUACCCUGUACCUGGUGGUUUGCAUUGCUGACUGCAGAUUGCUUCAAGGCUGCUGGCAAACAGCAGGCAUUAGGAAUGGUGAGCCACUCUUGAGGGUCAAAGCAAGUGCUGUUGCUAUUUCCAGAGGGUUGAUGAAUGGUGGAUUUGAUAGAUAUCUCUAAUUGUUAAAAUUUCUCCACAGCUGCAGUAUCCAGGGGACUUCUCUUAUUAUUUUUUUUUAUUUUGCUGGCAUUUUUAGCUUGCAGAAACAAUUGUUCUGUAGCUCCCAUACACAGUCCUUGUCCUUUGGGUGACCCAUCCAUUUAUCCAAAGUGUAAACGCACAUGAAAGCUGUUUACUUCUCUCAUGGCCUUUUAGUACUUUUGAGUCAGACCAGAAUAGGCCAGAGGUGCAAGGUUAUUCUUAUCCACAUAGAGAACUGCUUGUGCUGGGCAUGUUGCUUGGGCAGCAGUGUGUCUGUAGGAGAAAGCCUCAGCAAUCCCUUGUGAUAGCAGAGUCUGACUGCACUGAGACAACAACGUGACUGCACAGCAGGCCAUGAAUAGAACUGAUACAAUGCAGUAGGCAUUUACCUCUUAUGUAACUGCAUUUAGUGCCAAGAUUAUUUUUAUUUCUAUACUUGAUUAUGCUGUAGUUUCACUGAGAGGAAAAUAAGAAAAAAAAAUGAUCUUUUUUUCACUAUUUGUCAGUGGUUAAUGAGUAACUGUCUUUUUUUUUCCCUUUUUGGCAGGCCUCCUUUCAUGAGUAACUGUGCUCUGUUACAGACGAGACAUGUGCGAACCCAGUGGCAGUGUGAGGACCCAGCCUUGUGUACACAUCUGGUGCUGCUUUACUCACGUUCUCCCACUCAGAAAAUCUGAUGAUAAAGACCUCAGGAAAGCAGUACAUCUCAGUCCUACAGAAACUGACCUGGCCUCUCUUAAUGAAAUGUAUUCUCUGCGAGAGAAGACAACUCGGUGAUCCUUGUUUAUAACAACUACACUUAUAAGAAUGGAAGUGUGGGGAGUACGACCAUCACUUUUCAAGCUACCGGUAACCUGCAGUGUAUGCCCAGGCCCCUGCUUUUCAGAGCUAGGCACCAGAGCUGAAUUAGCUGUGAUUAGAAAAUACAGGAAUGUUCUUUAAGGCAGAGAAGCAGAGCAAGCAAAGUUUUCCCUAGGGGUGUCAUCAUCUGGUGCUUCAUGCCUUGUAUGAAUCAGCUUCUGAAAUUUCAAGACAAUGUACUUUCAUGGCUGCAACUCUCAUCUCCUCAAAUAAAACCGGGCUGAAAGAUACUUACUGCCUUUAUAAAGCUCAGACCUUCAUGUGAUUUGUAAGUGGAAUUAUUACAUUGUCUUGUCUUAGUUUGUGGUUAGUUCUUGUGAAAGCUAGAGGCUUGUACUUUCUCUGUACCUCCUCCUCUAAAAACUGUUUCUGACUAUGGCCCUUGGAAUCUGAAAGUUGUAUUUAUUCACUUAGUAAUAAUGUUAAUAGUGCCAAUAACAAUAAGAAGUCCACAGGAGGAGUUCUGAGAUGAUCCAAAAAUAGUUGGGUUACAGCAACAAGUAACAUCAUUUGAGCUUUAAAAAAAACAACCAACAACAAAAAACAAAAAAGUUCUAAUUCAGCUUGUUCUGGAAUCUUAAAAGAGGCAGUGUGCUUCUUGCAAGUGUAUCUGUAUGUUACUCCUAGUAAUCAGCACUGUGUGUGUAAGAGAAAACCUGUUUGAGAGAACUUUGUUUUCAUAUGAAUGAAAGAAGUCAGUGGGCUGACUGUAGCUGAGAGGAGCACAGUGUCAGUGCUGGAACAGCAUGGCAACAUAACUUGAGUAGCCUAAGCCAGCUACAGUCCCUGGCCCUCUGUUCACCUAAGAUAGUGGGUACAUUUCUUGAAGCUUUAAUAACUUGUUUAAUUGUUAGCACCAGUCAAAAAAAAAAAAAAAACCCAGCAGGUUGAGCACAUUCCAAAGGAAAUACACAAAUUAGAUCCAUUAUAUCUUGUAGUUCUGAGUUCAGGUCACUGAGUUCAGGUGUACUGUCAUACUUCUCUUCAAGUGUUUGCACUCCCGUUCCUUAUGUAGAGGCUGCAGAACAAACUGCGUGAGCCAUUCUCCUGUGAGCUAGUUUUUAUUCACCAUACCCACCUACUUACCUGCUUUAGCAGCCAGGCUUUGCAGCAUUAAAAGAAAACGAUUUUGCAGGGGAGAGGAGCAGGGUCUUACUAGCAAGAGUCCAAUGGGACUGACUUGUGAAAGCACUGCUGAGCCAAUGCACUUGUUGAAUUCUACAUUUUACUUAAAAAUUAUACAGAGAAAUAUACAAAAGUGGUGCAUUAAAUCAGUUUCAUUUGCAUAAUGGGCCUUUAUAGAUUUGAUUUCUAGUGACAGACCAUACACACAUCCACUGAUACUACAUUUUUGUCCUUACACAGCAGUCCUCUGCCUUUCACAUUACAGGACUUAAAAAUAGCUUUACUUGUAACCACCUGCAGGCUAUUCCCUCUUAAACAGAUAGAUAGACAGACAUGUAGCCCCCUCUAGAAAAAGUUCCAUUAGAUUUCCUAGUUUCUGGGAAUAAAGGUAGUUGAUAAGAGAAAUACUCGUGUGACAUACAGCAUUUGAAAAAGUAUGGUUUUUUUUUUUUAAUUUCAAAAAGUUUAAUUUUGGAGAUGAUAAACUUAAGACAAAUGAUGCAGUGAUGUCUCCCCACCCUGAACUUCCCAGUGCUAGCAGAGUUCAGCACUAAGCAGCCAACUACAUACAUGUGGAGGGAAAAGCUGAACAUAACGAUUUCAGUUUCCAAGGCUGCUCUCUUGAACUGUUUGAAAACAACAUGGAAGCAGAGGUACUGACUUUGCUAGGUUUUUUUGAGUUCUGGAUUCAGAACAGAUUCAGCUUUUUGUUUUCUAGUAUUUUGGAGACGUAACUAAGCUAGUGAGUCAUCUCUGUGAUACUGAAUGUAACACAAUUAUUUUGUUCAAAGCAAUGACCUUUCAGUGCAAUAUAAGGUACAUUAGCUGUACUCAUGGUAAGGAAAAAAAAAAAACAAAAAAAAAACAGAAAACAGUGCACCCUAAUCACAGUGUUAAAGCUAAGAACUACAGAACUUCUGUGCUCCAACAGCUGCAGUUAACUUUUUCUUAACAAACACUCUUUACGUACAUUCCUGAACUGUGAAAAGCAGAGAGAGAGGGAGAGAGGAGGAACAGGUAGUUUCAGGUACUGCAGUAAGACUCAGUAUAGCUCCUUUAAUUUCUUUACACUGUAAACAGACUUGUGUUCAUACUGACACCCUGGUCUGGACUUUCUUAUUUACAUGAAACACUUUUACAUAUAUACAUGUUAGCAAAAUACAAGGCUUUUCCCAGAACUGAAUGCAUUUGAGCUGUAUCUUUGUUAUACAACUAAUGCUUUAAAAACAAAACCAAAAAAAAGCCCACCACACUUGUUUUCUUACUCACAAUGAUUCCAUACAGUUAAAUACUAAAAUCAUAUUUAUUUCUUUCCCAUAUAGUAUUUUCUCUAAUUACAGAAUACCAUCAGCUCCAGACUGAUUCCUGCAGUUCACUCUGGCAGUAAGAAGAUGUUUCAAGAGUCCAGCUCUAAUUGUUCUUGAUUUUCACUGAGUCUUAACAUAAGCUGUUGUUCAUAAUAAAGGCUCUUUGCAUAGUUUAUUUCUUGACAUAGCUUUACUGCAAGAACUUCAGAUUUCACAUUGACCUGCAGAAAGAAAUGGGUAUGUUGUUAAAGAGGCACUGUUUUGUUUGUUUGUUUGUUUCACUGACUGAAGGAAUUUGCAUGGCUGUGCUUGAGGGAAUAAAAGUGCUUCAAUGGAAAUCUUGUUCUCAGUGAUGAGGAUGAGGUAUGGGAGAAAUGAGAGAGGGAAAGACAGGUACUGAGUUUUGGUAAUAUUGGGUGGGAACAGAAACAUCUUGCAAUAUCUGAAGUUAUUUCCUUUGCUUCCUCUCCUACCUUUCAUCUGGCUGUUCUGUUUGGAAUGUAAACUGACUUAGGUCAGGGGUGAGCUUGUAACCUUGUCUGUAAAACAGACCUGGAACAACUACUGUAAUGAAGCAGAAAACCCACUUGGUUGAGAGGUGAGAUACUGAUUAAUUUUUAUAUGUAUGACAUAAAUAGUCUUUCCAAUCUUUGGAAGAUGCUAUAUAUGUAGGGAAAACACUACAGUAAAUAGCACAGUGCUUAAUUACGUGUAUGUACUGUAUAAUUAAGAUUAUUUCUCAGACAAAGAAAUAUUUCCUAACUUAACUUCUGCAUUUGGGAAUAUUUUAGAUUUUACCUUCAACUUUUCUCAGGAGUUCAUGAAGCAAGUUCUACUGACCUAGAUCUUUUAGGCAGCAGUUAUUUGCACGGCUGGCAGAAUGAAAUUUUUAUUACUAAACAGUACAAGAAUCAAACAGGAGUAGAAAUAUUUUCAGUGUCAGUACGUGCAGUGAUUGAGGGGAAAAGAAACCCCUGUGUGAAAGAAACAGCAGGUGCUCGAUCCUUACCAUUGGUUUUUGUUGUGAUGGGCCUGGCAUUGCUACACCACUACUUGUAUUAACAGCUUUCUUUGUCAGCUGUACAUAUACUUUCCCGUGAUCUUUUGAAACAAGGCAGUGGUAGAGGUCAUCGUACUUCACUUCUAAGAAGAUGGCUUCACGGUCGGGGUAGUCGCCACUCUUGAGGAAAUAAACAGCUUUAGAUGAGAUGAGAACACAGUACUUCUCUAUGUUCUCCACUGCUAUGAAGCUGCAGAAAAGAGGAAAACAAAAACAAGAAAUGAAUCGUGUGAUAAAAAUACUCAGCUGUAACAAAUGGCUUAACCUUGUGCAUUUUCAGUGACCUUUGGAAGUCUUAAAGAAAACCAAAAGCAUAACACAUACAAUUCAUUUGUAUUUGUACUGUUCUGAACAUCAAGCUGGUCUGUACCCCUCGGCUGAAAAAGAGCAGGUUGUAAACCAACUAUGAGCACUGACUUCUAGCUGUGGAUGUUAAAAAGUUAUAUAAAAAUAGCUGUAAGACUUAGGAAGAUUAACUGCCUUGCAUUUGAACACUGAAAGACUUAAUUACACUGAAGCUUAAUUGUAACUUCAGUUGUUACUGAUAGGUGAAAAAGUUUGGAGAUAUUUAUGAUGAAAGCUUCUUUGUUGUUGUUUUUUAAACACGUCAACCUGUGCCUCCUGCCACACACCUCCCUUGCCUUUAAAAGCAAAAAACAAGUUUAACCUGCUGCCUGGAGCAGUAGCUAGAAAAGAGAAAUUAGCUGUUUAACACUGGGGUGAAAGGUUAAGCAGCAAGCAGGUUUCCCCAGAGAGAUUAGUCCAAGUGAUGAAUAGGGGAGGUAGAAAAGAGUGAAUUAAGAAGAUGGAGAAUUACGAUGGCUGAAAAGGUUGAUGUGUAAAAAUGAGUAGGAAGGAAUGCAAAAGUGAAAUAGAUAAUGCACACACAAACACUCCCUCAUUUGUGAUUUACUACUGAAACAAACUCCAUUUGUGAUGUUUUAUUUUACUUUAAGAAAAAAGCUGAAAUUUUCAGAAAAUUAUAUAUGGAGACACAACUAAGAAUGAAAGAGUGCUGAGUUUUGUAGGAAAGAACAAGCUUAACUGUCAAACUAGGAUUCUCCUGCUGUCAGGUGGAUUCAAAUUCACUAUUUUCUGAGCUGUUGUUUGUACUGCUCUGUCUGCUGUUGCCCUAAUAUGUUCAGCAACAUACUCCACUGUGUUUGAGAACACUGAAGAUUUUCAGUCCUACGAGCUUUUGUUAGAUUGAAAAGUUCACCAUCUCUACUGGCCAGUUCCAAACUUGCUGUCUGCUUUGCUACUUAGGUAACACUGCGUACAAACUGCUGUGAGCCACAUCCAAGUAAACCCUCAGCUGCAAGUGGAAUGUCAGCAAGCACAAAUAUUUUUAAAGCUCAGACCAUGCUUUAUUUUGUGAUAUAAAAGAAAAUUAUAGUAAUUAUUUUCUCUUAAUACUUGUCUGCAAGAUCCUGCUCAGUGCUGAAUUUGUCUUUUCUCUGCCCUAUGCCUCCUUGUCAUAUCAAUCAGCUAACACUGGUUUCCAUAGGAGUGAAAAAAGGCAUACGUGCUCAUUCAAGUUGUUAAAUUUUCAUUUUAAGUGGCGUGAAGAGUACAGUCAUUCUUAACCUGCUGGGUAGCCUGCAGAACAGUCUUGUUUCAGAGGACAGGCAAAUGAAAGUCCAGUGUUUUACAGAGAUCCUACGUGUGACUUGGGUCAUGCUUCCACUGGAAGAGCAACCAGAACAAACCUGCUGGUACACUGCCUUUGUUUCCUUUCCAGCAGGGAAAGAAACUAAAAAAAGUAAUCAUGAGAAAUCCCAACUAUACUGUACUACCAUUCCUUGCAACUGUCAGGGUAAAGCUGAGUACACCCACAAAAGCAGAACUGUUGGGUUUUUUCCCACAUAUAUGGGAUUCCAACGCUCUGUAUGGAGAUAUCCAUGGAGAGAACUGAACCAGCAAAAGCUAUGGUGAAGUUAAGUGGGAACAACUGAGAAAUCAGACUACAGGGCUGUAUUUUUUCCCCCAUAAGAAGAUUAUAUCUGAUUUUUCAUGGUGUCAUAUAUGUACUUUGAGGAAUGGAAACAAGGAUGUAUUUUAUGGCGAAGCACUGAAACAUCAGCUAGUUUGUAGUUAAGGCUCUACAUUUUGUUCUAACUUUGAGUCAUGGAUCAUUACCCAUUUUCCCUUGCCAACUGUUAUUUUCUUCUCAGUGCCUAGUUCUCAAAAUGGGUAUUUAACCUUUUAAGAUACGACUGCAAGAUAUUACUUCUUCAGUUGAUUUAUGUAAGUAAAAAGACCCAACAAACUUGCAUUGACACUAUUUUAAAAAUUUCAAAUUAAUAAAAUGGAAGAUUAAAUGAAACAUGAUCCAGUAGAACAAAGCAGAAGCAAGCAGACCUCUGGAGAAUUUGUGGGUUUUUAACAACAUCAGGAAGUAAUUACACAAUAUUUUCCAGAAGUGAAACAGUGAGUCUAACUGGAAAAAAAUGUGGAAACAUUUAGUUAGAACAGUAGAGCAAGGUAUUAAACCCCCUUUUAUGGAUUUAACUCUGGAAGAAAAUAUGCAAAUAAUCACAUCUCUAAAUAUGUUUCUGGUUAUGAUACUAGGAUAAAAGUCAGAGGCAUAAUUUUGUACUUAUUUUCCACGACAAGAAACACUGUUUUCUUGUUGUGUGAUGCUCCUAAUGGUGGAAGUCACAGUGAAUGGACAGCGUGACUGAAAUGACAACAGCCCACAGUUCUACUUAUGGGGUACACUUGUCAAAAGCUGACACUGUUUGGUUUUUUAAUCACAAAUUGUUCUCUUCUAAUUCUCCCCGCUAAAGAGCCAGACUGGAUACACCAUUUAAGUCCUUUCCAUAAGAUGUAAACAGGAUAACAUGACUGUAAGAUCACAGGCCACAGGUGGCAACUACAAACUUCCUCACAGGCGCACAGCUUUCAGUGCCUCAUUAUUGAGGCUGGUGGAGUUGAGACAGUGCAAUGAAUGGGGGAACUCCCC